GAAUUAUUUUGUGAGUUAGUUAAGGUGUAGAAUUUUAAACCCACACAUACUCAUAUUUUAUUUUGUAUGUGAUGUGUGGCUCGAUAGUUAUAAGAAGAGUUUGUUCCUAAAGUGCUUGAUUGAAGGUUAUAUAGUGCUAUUUCUAUAAUAGCAAUUUUAUAGAUUUUAAUAAUAGGUGUAUUUUAUUGGAUAAGUAUAGUGGACUUUAUGAAUUAGCUUAUAAGGAAAGACAACCUUCCUUUUCUCCCUUCUUCUACCAAGGUGCCGUAUCCCUCUUCUUUUCCUCAACCUCCAUGUUUGUCGAUCCAAGCUCCAAGAAUCACUCCAAAAAAAUCACACCUAUAUUCAUCCAGAAACGUAUAUUAAGGUUUGAGUGGCAGUGUAGAGUGAACAAGCAAAGACUUCUAUUUCAUUAAGCGUAUCAGGUUGAGCUAAUGUGGUGAUGGUGCUGCAAUGAGCGGAGUCUCCAGGGUUGUUAAUAAAUAGUUAACCUGUCUAGAAUAUGUCUUCAUACAUAUGUCUAGCUACUUUCCGCUGCAAGAUGUUGUUGAUGUUAUAGUAUGUUAUGUCAUACUUUGAGUCUUAAUAGAAUGGUUUCAUAUGAUGUAUAACUUGAUUAAUGAUAUUAAUUAAGUUUUAUACUGUCUUUCA